AGGCUCCCUGGCUCACCACCCACCACUCACCGGAGUGCCAGAGCUGAGGGAGCCCGCCAGGUUGAGGGACAUGAGAGGAUUGGUCUCCACGAGGCGUGCCACAGCCUGCAGCCCCUCCAGCCCACAGGCUAGUGUGUGGUGUGGUCUCAGUCCUACCCGAAGAUCGGUCUUCUAACCUCGCUCCGCAAUGGGGAAGGCUGGUGGGUGACCAGCAGGCAUCUGUGAAUACUCCACACUGCCCACCAGCACAGCCCACCACACACUGCCAACUGCCCACCAGCACAGCCCACCACACAAUGCCCAAUGCCCACCAACACAGCCCACCACACAAUGUCCACUGCCCACUAGCACAGCCCACCUGCACAUUGCACACUGCCCACCUGCUGUCCGUCAAGCUCCAGUGCCACCACCAACUUGUUGAGGGACUGGGCCAACUCAGGCAGUGUGUCGCAGAUCAUUUCCACCACUGGACUCAGGAUCUCGGUGGUGGCCUCCUCCAGGGACGUCACCUGGAUCUCAAAGGACUCCAGCCGCCUCUUGGUGAGUAUCGCCCGCACGUAGGACACCAACCGUGUGACCUGGGACAACACUCCUCUCAGUGCACUGAUAGCUCUCCUCAGGGAUGAGAUAUCAGUUCCAUUGGAAGGGCAUUCUUCUCAAUGGGUGUGACAUUUCAAUCAGCAAGGCAAUGCACCAAUGUUCAUUAUUACUUUACUAAUGACAGAAAAAAACUAUUCUCACUGUAAACCUAUAUACAAUUUCCUCCACUUAUGUGUUGUCACUCCACUUAGCGUUGUCAGUGAGAGAAUUCCCUGUUGUCACCUGCCUUCUUCAUUUCAUAUUUAAAACAAAUUCCAGCAAUUCCUGUCACCUUUGCACUUAUUUGUACUGCCUGGGGUGUGUCUCAGAUACAAGUCAAGUCAUAGGGUUUGUUCACAGCAGCAGGUGAUUCUCAUGCUGGCAAAGCUAAGUGACAAGUGUGGAAGUGGAGGGGACAGUACCUUAAAAAUGCUGCAAAAUUCACUUGAAUCAAUGCAAUCCAACUCUUAAUUCAUUCCUCUCUAUAGGCAUGAAAUUCCAACCUCUCACUGAGGCAUGAUGUCACUCACUAAUAUUACUCUACACACACAUCAAAUAAAAAUACCAAUAUAACUCUACACGCAUUGGAUAAAAAUAAGGUAAAACAAAUAUAAUCUCUCACAAAGAGUAGCUCAUGCCACAAUUACAGGAAGAAACAGGCAACACCAAACACUCCAUAAUAACUAAAAGGUUCCUCUCCUCACUGUGCAACACGACAUCAUGACACUGCACUCCCUCCUGCAACACACUACUUAUCAAACACACUCACACACUGCCUCAUUUCUCAACUUUCCUGCCUCACACUACCCACCUCAGACACACCAAACUCCCCGCCCACAACACAGGUCAGCUUCACGCUCUUGACACUUUCAUUGAAGGACAUGGAGGUGAAGAAGGACUCUUGUCGAUCCCUGGAGGUGCCAUCAAAAUCCAGCAGGACCUCCACCCCUUCCAGCAGACAGUCCGGAGAGUAAAGGAGUCUCCCCCAGUCCUCCAGCUCAGGGGAGUUGGUUUGUAUCACCACAUGUUCUCUCCCUGAUACGUGUUUGCACACCUGUCCAGAUGUAGCAGUGAGAGUGGAAGGAGGAGAGGAAA
rnacentral:lncRNA from 1 species